UACAGAGGGUGCAAGCGUUGUUCGGAAUUAUUGGGCGUAAAGCGCGUGUAGGCGGCUUUGCAAGUCGGGUGUGAAAGCCCUCAGCUUAACUGAGGAAGUGCGCCCGAAACUGCAGAGCUUGAGUACCGGAGAGGAUGGUGGAAUUCCCCAAGUAGAGGUGAAAUUCGUAGAUAUGGGGAGGAACACCGGCGGCGAAGGCGACCAUCUGGACGGAUACUGACGCUGAGACGCGAAAGCGUGGGUAGCAAACAGG
rnacentral:rRNA from 1 species